rnacentral:rRNA from 1 species
AUUUUCACCCACUCUCUAAAUAAUCCCCAAAUAAAACAAUUAUACAUCAACUAAAUAUUAUCAAACAAUAAAAAGUACUAUAAAGGAAAUACAAACUAAAUAAAAGUAGUGAUAAACCCACAUACCUUGUGCAUUAUGGUUUUACAAGCACAAAAUUAAAUACAAGACUCCCGAAUUCUGCACGAGCUGCUAAAACGCUGUUAAGAACCCACUACUAGUUGUAGCACCAACUUUAGGAAACCUUAUAGCAGAGGCUACAUACCAAACGCGUCAGGAAAUUGCUGGUUCUCAGUAAAAUUUAUCAAUUAAUACAUGUAAUUUAUAUUACAGUGUAAAUUUACAGAGGACAAGCCCUGUAAACAAAGCAUAAAUAAAAUUAAAAUUCAUAUUAUAUAGGCCUAAAAACAGCCAUCAAUAAUACUUUACCGUAAACAAAACUUUUUUAAUUUAUAUUAUAAAUAAGCCGCAUAAAACUGAGAUUUUAGAUAAAUAAUUAAUCUUAAAAUAUUAUGUAAAAAUAAGUAUUAUUACCACCACCGCGAAUAAAGUAAAUAAAAAACAAUAAGACUUAAAUAAACACUUAUAAAGGAACUCGGCAAACCCUAGUUCGACUGUUA